AUGUCAUCAAAAUAUAAAUCAAGGGAAAAAAACACUGUGGAAGAGGAUUAUGGCUUCAGACGUGCCGGGGUGCUAAACUGCUGACGUAUAUGACUCUCAGUGCUAAUGACCUCGACUCUCCAGCAUCACAUCAGGAAUACAGAACGACCAGGAUGAGUCACCCAGCUGCAGUGUGUGCUGACAAUCAAUCAGCCGAGUCCAGCCCACGUCCAGCCCACGUCCAACUCAAGUCCAGCCCACGUCCAGCCCAGAUCCAGCCCACGUCCAGCAUAAAUCCAGCCCAGCCUAGCAGCCACCUCUAUAAUAUCAAUGCUGUGGGAACAGAAAAAAACGCUGUUGUUAAAUCUAAGAACAGUCAGCAGUUAAAUCAAAGAAAUGAUAUGCUUCCAGGUUUGCAAUAACAGUUUAGGGAAGGACCUCUCAGUAAAAAACAUGAAAGAAACAGAUAAGUGCUGGAGAAGAGACUGUAGUAGCAGUACAAGUGAAUUGAAGCUGGAAUCAGUUUGAUAAGACCUAAGUUUUUAUUAAAAAUACAGCCUGUGCACGUCCACCAUCAGCCCAGGCAUCACAAAUAGAUGGAUAGAUGGAUGAACGAACAGAUAAGACACUGUGUAUUAUAUCCUUACAGGAAAUUACUGAAACUCUAACAGUACAACUUUACAGACAGUAACAAUAAAAUGAUAUGCAUUAGAA